GCAACGCUGUUGCAGCUGGCUGGUGUUUACAAUAAUGUUUUCAUAACAAUGAGACAUUUUUUCAAUUCGGAUGGAUAAAAACUACAACUAAAACACCCUAUCAUCUAUUGCAGAUUCCAUCGGACGACCGGGAUAGCGUCGGAGCAGGACACCAAAGAAGAUAGCCCUCGAUGGCGCGCCAGACUCCGUACAGAGGCGCAUCACAUGUCAGCCAUACAUGUAGAGCGGGUGCACCCAGGCGCGCAUAAUGCAACGCAAAGGCAGAGCUCACAGGUCGUCUUCAUAGCGGCAGUGUAACCUGUGAAAUAUAAGAACAAAGGAUUAUGUGUUCCAGUCAGGUAGCCGUGCCAGAGCCUUGGGAUGAACGCCUUGGGUAGUUUUGCCGUGUUGUACUGUUUGGCAGUCAGGGUUGAGCCGUGAAGCAUGGCUUGUCUGUAUACAGAAUCAUAACGUGUUCAUUUAUUUUAUUUCAGCAGAAGGUAGCGCAGGGGCCAUAACAAGUGACAGGGCAGACAUCCCUAUCAGCUUCUUCACGCGUGCGCUAUGCUGACGUCGAGCAAUAGAAAGCCAGCACCAAUAGAAUUUGUUUAAGUAGUUGGUACUGCCAAAGCUCAAUAAAGUUGAAGUUGCAAAAGA